UGCGUGCAGGCGCAGAUAUAUAGUAGCGUGCAGCCAAGGAUGACUUGCCGGCAGAAUGCUGUGUUUCCAGCUCUCCUUGGAUAUGUUCAGAAACAUAUAUAUUGUAAUGAAUGAAUUGGUGCAAGUUGGCAAGUUGUCCUUGGCUACAUGUUUCUUUCUGCUCCGUAUGCCAGGCCU
rnacentral:pre_miRNA from 1 species